rnacentral:rRNA from 1 species
CCCGCUCACGAGCGGUGGACGGGUGAGUAAUGCUUAGGAAUCUGCCCAGUAGUGGGGGACAACAGUCGGAAACGGCUGCUAAUACCGCAUACGCCCUACGGGGGAAAGCAGGGGAUCUUCGGACCUUGCGCUAUUGGAUGAGCCUAAGUCGGAUUAGCUAGUUGGUGGGGUAAAGGCCUACCAAGGCGACGAUCCGUAGCUGGUCUGAGAGGAUGAUCAGCCACAUCGGGACUGAGACACGGCCCGAACUCCUACGGGAGGCAGCAGUGGGGAAUAUUGGACAAUGGGGGCAAACCUGAUCCAGCCAUGCCGCGUGUGUGAAGAAGGCUUUCGGGUUGUAAAGCACUUUCAGCGAGGAGGAAGGCCUUAAAGUUAAUACCUUUAAGGAUUGACGUUACUCGCAGAAGAAGCACCGGCUAACUCCGUGCCAGCAGCCGCGGUAAUACGGAGGGUGCAAGCGUUAAUCGGAAUUACUAGGCGUAAAGCGCGCGUAGGUGGUUUGGUAAGCGAGAUGUGAAAGCCCCGGGCUUAACCUGGGAACGGCAUUUCGAACUGUCAGACUAGAGUGUGGUAGAGGGUAGUGGAAUUUCCUGUGUAGCGGUGAAAUGCGUAGAUAUA